AAUUCAGUGAUUCCAUUCCGAUUCCUUUGAACGCAAUUGCGCUUCUCUGGAACUCCAGGGAGCAUGCCUGUCUGAAGCGUCCGUGUAAAACCCACACACUCCGGUGUGGCAAGGAAGCUACCAAAUGCUUACUAUUUUGGUUCAUGCAUUUGGCUUCUUAUGUAUCUGAACUCGAUUACAAUCAUUUUUCGAUGUUGUUGUCGGAAGGCUUAACUAGCUUCUGUCCUUUCACAAUCGACUGAAAUUUGAUGUGAUUAUUGGAGUUUUUGAGACAUCCUAGGAUGGACUGAAACUUUGACCUCAGAUCAGACAAGACUACCCGCUGAAUUUAAGCAUAUUAAUAAGCGGAG
rnacentral:misc_RNA from 1 species